UUGGAGGGCAAGUCUGGUGCCAGCAGCCGCGGUAAUUCCAGCUCCAAUAGCGUAUAUUAAGGUUGUUGCAGUUAAAAAGCUCGUAGUUGAAUUUCGGGGUUAGUAGGUUGGUCAUGCCUCUGGUAUGUACUGGUCUCACUGGUUCCUCCUUCCUGAUGAGCCGUAAUGCCAUUAAUUUGGUGUUGCGGGGAAUUUGGACUGUUACUUUGAAAAAAUUAGAGUGUUUAAAGCAAGCUAACGCUUGAAUACAUUAGCAUGGAAUAAUGAAAUAGGACGUUCGAUCCUAUUUUGUUGGUUUCUAGGAUUGACGUAAUGAUUAAUAGGGAUAGUUGGGGGCAUUAGUAUUCAAUUGUCAGGGGUGAAAUUCUUGGAUUUAUUGAAGACUAACUACUGCGAAAGCAUUUGCCAAGGAUGUUUUCAUUAAUCAAGGACGAAAGUUAGGGGAUCGAAGACGAUCAGAUACCGUCGUAGUCUUAACCAUAAACUAUGCCGACUAGGGAUCGGAUGAUGUUAAUUUUUUAAUGACUCAUUCGGCGCCUUACGGGAAACCAAAGUGUUUGGGUUC
rnacentral:rRNA from 1 species